GCCGGUGUAGCUCAGCGGUAGAGCAACCGCUUCGUAAGCGGUCGGCCGUCGGUUCGAUUCCGACCACCGGCU
rnacentral:tRNA from 1 species